rnacentral:misc_RNA from 1 species
GUGAAGAACGUAGCGAAAUGCGAUACUUGGUGUGAAUUGCAGAAUCCCGUGAACCAUCGAGUCUUUGAACGCAAGUUGCGCCCGAAGCCAUUAGGCCGAGGGCACGCCUGCCUGGGCGUCACACGUCGUUGCCCCCCCAUCUACUCCUUCGGGAUUGCGGGGGGCGGAUGAUGGCCUCCCGUGCGCCUCGCCGCGCGGUUGGCAUAAAUGCCAAGUCCUCGGCGACGCACGCCACGACAAUCGGUGGUUGCGAAACCUCGGUUGCCCGUCGUGUGCGGUCGUCGCGCAUCGAGGGCUCGAAAAAAUUGCCGGGUUCCGGCUCGGCUUUCAACGCGACCCCAGGUCAGGCGGGGUUACCCGCUGAAUUUAAGCAUAUCAAUAAGUGGAGGA